ensembl:lncRNA
CAUUUGUCUAUGUAUAAUUGCUUUCUGUCUAUUUAUCUCUCUCUUUUUAUCCAUCCAUCUAUCUUUAUAUCUUUCUACUAAUACUUCUUUCUCUCUAUCUUUCUGUCUCUUUAUCUAACUUUCUGUCUCUUUGUCUCUGUAUGUAUGUAUGUACUCAUCUAACCAUCUAUCUAUCCAUCUAUUUGUGUAUCCAAAUAGCUAUAGUCCAUCUCUCUCUCUCUCUCUCUCUCUCUCUCUCUCUCUCUCUCUCUCUCUCUCUCUCUCUCUCCCUCCCCCCCCUCCCACAUGGACCCUCUCUCCCUCUCCCCUCUGUAUUUUAUAAUCUCUAUCACUCCCUGUCACUUAUGUAUCCAAACACAGAAAAGUAAUAUAUCUUUCUAUAACACUCACUCUAUACAUAUAUAUUUGUGUACAUUUACAUACACACAAAGAGAGUCUCUCUCUCAUUCCUAAACUCUCUUUCUCCCAAUCUCUCCUUCUUUCUGUCUCUUUACCUAGCUCUAUCUAGACUGUUUCUCCAUGUAUGUAUCAAUCUAUCCAUCUACCCAUGUAUCAAUAUAUCCACCUCUCUGCCUGACUAUGUAUCCAUCCAUCUAUCUCUAUGUUUCUUUACCCCUUUCCAUCUAUCUUCCUAUUUCCAUCCAUCUAUGCAUUCAUCUAUUGUUUUAUCUUUCUUUCUACCAAUCAUUCUCUCUCUUUUUCUUUCUCUGUCUUUUUGUCUGUCUGCCUACAUAUGUAUGUACAUAUGUAUGAAUGUAUCUCUCUAUAUAUCUAUCCAUCCAUGUAUUUAUCCAUCCAUCUCUGUCUAGGUGUCAUUAUAUCUUUCUAUCUGCCUCUCUGUGUGGUAUGUCUAUCUAUGUAUCUACCUAUUUAUCCAUCUGUCUCCAUUAUAUGUAUGUAUGUAUGUAUGUAUGUAUGUAUGUAGCUAUAAAUCUAUCCUGCCAUAUAUCGAUAUAUCUAUCUUUAUAUCUCUUUCUUUAUACCACUCUUUCCCCAUCUUUCUUUCUAAUUGUCUGUUUCUUAUUUUUGACUCUCUACUUGCCUAUGUAUUUAUAUAUGAAUGUCUCUCUCUCUGUCAUUCUAUCCAUUCAUCAACUUCUCUGUAAAUCUAUCUACCUAUGUAUGCAUGCAUCUAUGUACCUGUCUGUCUAUAUAUCUAUUUAUGUAUGUAUCUGUCUAUUUAUCCAGCUAGCUCUCUGUCUCAAUUUCUCUAUGGUAUGUAUGUAUGUAUCUAUACAUUUAUCUAUCCAUCCAUUCAUCUAUGUAUCAAUUGUUUUCUCUGUCAAUCUUUCUCCGUCUCUCUAUCUAUCCACCCCUCCCUUGAGACCUCUCUCCCUUCAUCUAUGUUUAUAUUUAUCAUUCUUUCUACCAAUAUUUUUCUUUCUCUAUUUCUUUCUAACCGUGGCUCUUUAUCUAACUUUGUUUCUCCAUGUAUGUAUGAAUCUAUCCAUCUCUGUACCAACCCAUCUAUCUCUCUGUCUCUCUAUCACUGUCCAUCUGUCUUCCUUUUAUCUAUCCCUCCAUCCAUCUAUACAUUCUUCUUUUCAUCUCUCUCUCUCCACCAAUUGUUCUCUCUUCAUCUCCAUUUUUCUUUCAAAUUGUCUAUUGCUUUUUUACCUCUCUCUUGCCUAUAUAGGUCCACAUAAAUUAGAUUUAUGA